UACGGAGGAGGCAAGCGUUAUCCGGAAUUAUUGGGCGUAAAGCGUCCGUAGGUGGUUAAGAAAGUCUGCUGUCAAAGGCUGGGGCUUAACUCCAGACAGGCAGUGGAAACUACUAGACUAGAGUGCGGUAGGGGCAGAGGGAAUUCCCAGUGUAGCGGUGAAAUGCGUAGAUAUUGGGAAGAACACCGGUGGCGAAAGCGCUCUGCUGGGCCUGCACUGACACUGAGGGACGAAAGCUAGGGGAGCGAAAGGG
rnacentral:rRNA from 1 species